rnacentral:rRNA from 1 species
GACGAACGCUGGCGGCGUGCUUAACACAUGCAAGUCGAACGAUGAAGCUGGAGCUUGCUCCGGUGGAUUAGUGGCGAACGGGUGAGUAACACGUGAGUAAUCUGCCCUUGACUCUGGGAUAACUGCGGGAAACUGUAGCUAAUACCGGAUACGACACCUUCUGGCAUCCGAUGGGUGUGGAAAGAAUUUCGGUCAAGGAUGAACUCGCGGCCUAUCAGCUAGUUGGUGAGGUAAUGGCUAACCAAGGCGACGACGGGUAGCCGGCCUGAGAGGGUGACCGGCCACACUGGGACUGAGACACGGCCCAGACUCCUACGGGAGGCAGCAGUGGGGAAUAUUGCACAAUGGGCGAAAGCCUGAUGCAGCAACGCCGCGUGAGGGAUGAAGGCCUUCGGGUUGUAAACCUCUUUUAGUUGGGAAGAAGCGAAAGUGACGGUACCAACAGAAAAAGCACCGGCUAACUACGUGCCAGCCGCCGCAGUAAGAC